GUGGGGAAUCUUAGACAAUGGGCGCAAGCCUGAUCUAGCCAUGCCGCGUGAGCGAUGAAGGCCUUAGGGUUGUAAAGCUCUUUCAGGGGGGAAGAUAAUGACGGUACCCCCAGAAGAAGCCCCGGCUAACUCCGUGCCAGCAGCCGCGGUAAUACGAAGGGGGCUAGCGUUGCUCGGAAUCACUGGGCGUAAAGCGCACGUCGGCGGCUUUCUAAGUCAGGGGUGAAAUCCUGGAGCUCAACUCCAGAACUGCCUUUGAUACUGGAGAGCUUGAGUUCGGGAGAGGUGAGUGGAACUGCGAGUGUAGAGGUGAAAUUCGUAGAUAUUCGCAAGAACACCAGUGGCGAAGGCGGCUCACUGGCCCGAUACUGACGCUGAGGUGCGAAAGCGUGGGGAGCAAACAGGAUUAGAUACCCGAGUAGUCC
rnacentral:rRNA from 1 species